rnacentral:rRNA from 1 species
GACGAACCGUGCGAACGUUGUUCGGAAUCACUGGGCUUAAAGGGCGCGUAGGCGGGCCGCCGCGUCCGGGGUGAAAUCCUCCCGCUCAACGGGAGAACGGCCUCGGAUACGGGCGGCCUGGAGGCGGGUAGGGGCACGCGGAACUGUGGGUGGAGCGGUGAAAUGCGUUGAUAUCCACAGGAACUCCGGUGGCGAAGGCGGCGUGCUGGACCCGAUCUGACGCUGAGGCGCGAAAGCCAGGGGAGCGAACGGG